AAGCAGAAAAAGUUCCGUCAUUUUCUAGGUCGUCAGGGAGUGAAAAUGGUGCCUCGGGCGCCACCUGCUGGAAUUUGACGCUCAUGUCUCUGGGCGAACAGGAACUUCAGCACUUGCAGGAACAAAGACUCGCGUUUUGGUCUUUUUGGGUGCUCAAAUCAAUACUGAAGGCAGGAUCGUCACCAGAGCUUAAUACUUGCAAUGUCUGUUGCAAAAAGGUCCAUUGUCCACUUUGUUCACCAACACUAUUUAAACCGGCACCACUAGUCCAUAUUUAAAAUGGAAAGUAUUAUUUUAUUUAUUACUUUUUGACAGCAAUGCACUACUUUGCUAACUUCUCCUUUUGAAAACUUAUCCUUUUCAAAGAUAUAAAAUAUGCAGAUGCAACCUCAAGAACCCAGAGACGUUUCCCACGAUGAUGGACGACAAUGCUGUGAAGGGACAACAUGGUAGACCAUAUACGGUCGACUUCAGACCAACUCCUGAUGCUCUGCUGGAGUCAUGGAAGCGCUGGGGAAUUUGCCUGCUAAUAUUUACUUUAUUACAGUGUAAUACGAUUUAAAUUUGGUAUAAUACAUUCAUGUUGAUGUCCUGUCUUUCUUGUUGGUUGGAACAGGUCAUCAGCCAGGAACCAUCCUGUAGGUUCAGUGCUCUGAAAAAGUUUCCUCAUUUGUUGACACACUUGCGUGUUUCACAUCGUCAAACUAAUUUUACUGUUAGACAAAGAUAACCUGAAUAAAUGCAAAAUGCAGUUUUUAAAUGAUGAUGUCCCUAAAUCUUUUAACAGGUUGUAUGACUCAGGACGUUGGUGGAGAGAGACAUCGGCGCAGAGAGAGAAUACAGGAAGCAGCGAGAGACCAGUAAACUUGUCCGAAUCUUGGACUCACUCCUGUCUCUUCCCAUCAUGCAGCACCGUCCUCGACUCAGGCAGCACGCUUUCCCUUCUCUGUGCCACUAUGUGGAGCAAAGUAAGGAAACUCGAAGAAGGAGAAGCAGCAGGAGGAUCCUUCCCUGCAACCCCUGUGGGAAGGAACAGGAGAUGCCUGUACAGUAACCACACAAAAGAUGAUGAGAUGGAACCAAGUCUCAGCUUGUGGAGAACUAAGAUGAAGAUGCUGGAUCAGGAGGAGGCUUUGGCCAUUCUGCUUUGCUGUUCAGAGAGAAGCAGCUCUGAACCCUGCGAGCUACAGUGAGCGUUUAUAGCCAGCUGGACAGCAAGCAGCACAUCAACUGAGACAGAGAGUGACACAGCGAGCAGAUCAGAAGAAGAUCAGGAUCAUCAUCAACAACCAGGGACCAGCGAACUUGUUGGAGACCCGAGGAUCAGCGUGGACUCGAAGACCCAGCACCAUGGACUUUGAAUUCCUUGAGUGCAUUGGUCGUGGGGCUUUUGGCCAGGUCUUUAUGGUAUUAAGAUUGUUUUUAAACUGCAUUGUCCAGGAGACUAUUGUGAAAUAACAUGAGGCCAUUAAUUAACUGCUGUUAAUUUCA
rnacentral:lncRNA from 1 species